rnacentral:rRNA from 1 species
GCCCGAGGGUUGUAAAGCACUUUCAAUUGGGAGGAAGGUAGUAUCGCUAAUAUCGGUACUGCUUGACGUUACCUUUAGAAGAAGCACCGGCUAACUCUGUGCCAGCAGCCGCGGUAAUACAGAGGGUGCAAGCGUUAUUCGGAAUUACUGGGCGUAAAGCGCGCGUAGGCGGACUGUUAAGUCGGUUGUGAAAGCCCUGGGCUCAACCUGGGAACUGCAUCCGAUACUGGCAAUCUAGAGUUUAAGAGAGGGAAGGGGAAUUCCUAGUGUAGCAGUGAAAUGCGUAGAUAUUAGGAGGAACAUCAGUGGCGAAGGCGCCUUCCUGGCUUAAAACUGACGCUGAGGUGCGAAAGCGUGGGUAGCGAACGGGAUUAGAUACCCCGGUAGUCCACGCCGUAAACGAUGUCAACUAGUUGUGGGGCAUAUUAAAAUGUUUCGUAACGUAGCUAACGCGAUAAGUUGACCGCCUGGGGAGUACGGUCGCAAGAUUAAAACUCAAAGGAACUGACGGGGGCCCGCACAAGCGGUGGAGCAUGUGGUUUAAUUCGAUGCAACGCGAAGAACCUUACCAUCCCUUGACAUCCUGCGAACUUUCUAGAGAUAGAUUGGUGCCUUCGGGAACGCAGUGACAGGUGCUGCAUGGCUGUCGUCAGCUCGUGUCGUGAGAUGUUGGGUUAAGUCCCGCAACGAGCGCAACCCU